rnacentral:rRNA from 1 species
GACCUAUCAGCUUUCGACGGUAUGGUAUUGGCUUACCGUGGCAGUGACGGUUAACGGGGGAUUAGGGUUCGAUUCCGGAGAGGGAGCCUGAGAAACGGCUACCACAUCUAAGGAAGGCAGCAGGCGCGCAAAUUACCCAAUUCUAACAGUAUAAGAGAGGUAGUGACAAGAAAUAACAGUACAAGGCAGUUAAAAUGCUUUGUAAUUGGAAUGAUAGAAAUUUAAACACUUUUUAAAGUAUCAAUUGGAGGGCAAGUCUGGUGCCAGCAGCCGCGGUAAUUCCAGCUCCAAUAGCGUAUAUUAAAAUUGUUGCAGUUAAAAAGCUCGUAGUUGAAUUUCUGCUAAAAAUAACCGGUGUGCUUUUAUUAAUAAAAGUGGUAUCUUGGUGUGUUUUUAGCAAUAAUGUCCUUAGAAAUGGUUUUUACUUUAUUGUAAGAAGCAAUAUUCAGGAUUUUUACUUUGAGAAAAUUAGAGUGUUUC